AAAAAUCCCUCUUUUUUUUUUUUUUUUUUUUGACAAAUGAGUGCAAAAGGUCAAAAAAAAACCUUUUUGAAUUUUGAAAAACAAAAGCCAUAAAGAACUCUAAAAACUAUGAGACCCUCUUUUUAUUUUUGAUUCACUUUCCUUUCUUUUUCCUAUCUUCUUCUUUUUCUUCUUUCUUCCUUUUUUUUUCCUUUUUUUUCAAAUGUUUUGUCUAUACGCUUCAAUUUUAACACAUGUUUUCCCGAAAUCAGUCCAUCAAAUGACUACAUUAUCCUCAAAGAUGCAACAUUUAGCACGUAGAGAUGCUUUAGA
rnacentral:lncRNA from 1 species